ACGGGAGGCAGCAGUGAGGAAUAUUGGUCAAUGGGCGGGAGCCUGAACCAGCCAAGUCGCGUGAGGGAAGAAGGUACUGAGUAUUGUAAACCUCUUUUGCCAGGGGACAAAGGCGGCCACGGGUGGCCGUAAGAGGGUACCUGGAGAAAAAGCAUCGGCUAACUCCGUGCCAGCAGCCGCGGUAAUACGGAGGAUGCGAGCGUUAUCCGGAUUUAUUGGGUUUAAAGGGUGCGCAGGCGGCGUGUCAAGUCAGCGGUAAAAUGUCGGGGCUCAACCCCGGCCGGCCGUUGAAACUGGCGUGCUCGAGUUGGAGAGAAGUAUGCGGAAUUCGUGGUGUAGCGGUGAAAUGCAUAGAUAUCACGAAGAACCCCGAUUGCGAAGGCAGCAUACCGGCUCCACACUGACGCUGAGGCACGAAAGCGUGGGUAUCGAACAGGAUUAGAUACCCUGGUAGUCCACGCAGUAAACGAUGAAUGCUAGGUGUCCGGGGCUUUGUGUCCUGGGUGCC
rnacentral:rRNA from 1 species